rnacentral:misc_RNA from 1 species
GAUGAAGAACGUAGCGAAAGGCGAUAAGUAAUGUGAAUUUCAGAAUUCAGUGAAUCAUCGAAUCUUUGAACGCACAUUGCGCCCGCCAGUAUUCUGGCGGGCAUGCCUGUUCGAGCGUCAUUUCAACCAUCAAGCCCCCGGCUUGUGUUGGGGACCUGCGGCUGCCGCAGGCCCUGAAAACCAGUGGCGGGCUCGCUAGUCACUCCGAGCGUAGUAAUACAUCUCGCUCAGGGCGUGCUGCGGGUUCCGGCCGUUAAAAAGCCUUAUUUACCCAAGGUUGACCUCGGAUCAGGUAGGAAGACCCGCUGAACUUAAGCAUAUCAAUAAGCGGAGGA